GCUCCGAUAGCUCAGUGGCACAGCAAGUGGGCGACAACAAUGCACGAGGUCGCCGGAUCAACACCCGGCUUGGAGCA